rnacentral:rRNA from 1 species
CCAGGACCAAGGUCAGCAGCAGGCGCGAAAAUUAUCGAAGCCCGCCUAGGGGCGAUAGUGAGGAGACGUGUAUAACGAAGUACGUGUAAAGAACGUGCUAAUAACUGGAGGUCAAGUCUGGUGCCAGCAUCCGCGGUAAUUCCAGCUCCAGGGGUGUCUAUGAUGAUUGCUGCGAUUAAAAAGUCCGUAGUCAAUCUGACUGACUGACCUGCAAUGUGAUUGAUUAAAGAACGAGCAGGGUUAGGAAAGCAGAGAAUUAGGAGCGACCGAGGGCUAGAGUAUUGAAUGGCGAGAGGUCAAAUUUGAUGACCCAUUCAGGAGUGACAAAGGCGAAGGCACUAGUCAAGGGCGAAUCCGAUGAUCAAGGACGUAGGCUAGAGUUUCGAAAACGAUUAGAGACCGGAGUAGUUCUAGCAGUAAACUAUGCCGACGCCGUGGUAUCAAUUAUGGUAUUGCGGAAGAGAAAUCAAGUAAGGCUUUGGGGAGAGUACGCGCGCAAGCGAUAAAUU